UACGGGGGGGGCAAGCGUUGUUCGGAAUUACUGGGCGUAAAGAGUGCGUAGGUGGUGCCCUAAGUCUGUUGUGAAAUCUCCCGGCUUAACUGGGAGGGUGCGGUGGAAACUGGGGUGCUUGAGUGUGGGAGAGGUAAGCGGAAUUCCUGGUGUAGCGGUGAAAUGCGUAGAUAUCAGGAGGAACACCGGUGGUGUAGACGGCUUACUGGACCACGACUGACACUGAGGCACGAAAGCGUGGGUAGCAAACAGG
rnacentral:rRNA from 1 species